rnacentral:rRNA from 1 species
UUUUUUCAACUUUUGACCUCGGAUCAGGUAGGGAUACCCGCUGAACUUAAGCAUAUCA